rnacentral:tmRNA from 1 species
GGGGACGUUACGGAUUCGACAGGGAUAGUUUGAGCUUAAGUUGCGAGUCGAGGGGAUCGGCCUCGUUAAAACGUCAACGCCAAUAAUAACUGGCAAAGAAAACAAUAACCUCGCUUUCGCUGCUUAAUAACAGCUGAGCGGAUCCUCCCUCCAUCGCCCAUGUGGUAGGGUCAGGGUCUCACUCUUAGUGGGCUACGCCGGAUGUCCUCCGCCUGUGGACGAAGGAAGAGACCAAUCAGGCUAGCACUUCCGACGCCCGUCGAUAGGCAAACGAAGCUGUGAAACACUAAUAUAUCGACUAUGCUCGUAGACGCUUAAGUGGCAAUAUUUCUGGACGCGGGUUCGACUCCCGCCGUCUCCAUUU